rnacentral:rRNA from 1 species
AGUUGAGCGCUGAGGUUGGUACUUGUACCGACUGGAUGAGCAGCGAACGGGUGAGUAACGCGUGGGGAAUCUGCCUUUGAGCGGGGGACAACAUUUGGAAACGAAUGCUAAUACCGCAUAACAACUUUAAACACAAGUUUUAAGUUUGAAAGAUGCAAUUGCAUCACUCAAAGAUGAUCCCGCGUUGUAUUAGCUAGUUGGUGAGGUAAAGGCUCACCAAGGCGAUGAUACAUAGCCGACCUGAGAGGGUGAUCGGCCACAUUGGGACUGAGACACGGCCCAAACUCCUACGGGAGGCAGCAGUAGGGAAUCUUCGGCAAUGGACGAAAGUCUGACCGAGCAACGCCGCGUGAGUGAAGAAGGUUUUCGGAUCGUAAAACUCUGUUGGUAGAGAAGAACGUUGGUGAGAGUGGAAAGCUCAUCAAGUGACGGUAACUACCCAGAAAGGGACGGCUAACUACGUGCCAGCAGCCGCGGUAAUACGUAGGUCCCGAGCGUUGUCCGGAUUUAUUGGGCGUAAAGCGAGCGCAGGUGGUUUAUUAAGUCUGGUGUAAAAGGCAGUGGCUCAACCAUUGUAUGCAUUGGAAACUGGUAGACUUGAGUGCAGGAGAGGAGAGUGGAAUUCCAUGUGUAGCGGUGAAAUGCGUAGAUAUAUGGAGGAACACCGGUGGCGAAAGCGGCUCUCUGGCCUGUAACUGACACUGAGGCUCGAAAGCGUGGGGAGCAAACAGGAUUAGAUACCCUGGUAGUCCACGCCGUAAACGAUGAGUGCUAGAUGUAGGGAGCUAUAAGUUCUCUGU